AAGGUGGCAGGAUCCCAUGUCCUGGGAUCAAAUGUCGGACACAGAGGUCAGAGGUCACAUGGUACAAGGAUGCCAGGCCUGUGUGUGAGAUACAGGAUAAGAGGACUAUCUCUGUGGUAGACCGGUAUACUCUUCUGCUGGGUACUGUCUAUGUGAGUGAUGCUACAGUGUAUUUCUGUGACUACACCUACGAAGACAACGGGAUCCCCUGGACAGUCAGGAGAUCUGUUAACGUCUCGGUCAUACCCGCUGACACCAAAGACCCUCCACAGAUUACUUAUCCCCAUGGCAACGAGGAGGGCGUGGAGCUGGGUGAGUGCAGAGCCUGAGGUUGAAUGAUUGAUUUGAUGAUGGCAGUUGUACAGAGUAUGAUCACUGUGUUUCACCAGUUUAUGUCUUCGUCCUAAAUGGCAACUUAUUCC